GCUAUUUAAAGCCCCUUAUGAAUGAAGUUUGGGAAGAGCCCGGUUUUAACUUGAGAAAAGAAUCGGUUUAAACGAUAUAAACCUUCCUGGAAGUUCCUUCGGAAAAAACAGUUCCGCAAGAAGAACAAGAAUACUUCUUGCUUCAUUUGUGGAAAAGAUGGACAUUUUGCUAAGAAUUGUCCUAACAGUCGCAAAAAGGAUAAGGUGCUUCACAUGCUUGCCUCUCUCCACGAUGAUGAUCUACAAGAUGCUGAUCUUGAGUCUUUAUACUCCCUGGAUUCUGAACCUACUGAUCUCUCUUUAUUUGCAAUUGACUAUCCAGCUGAACCCAAUUUUCUUACAGACUCAGACCCAGAGUCUUCUCUUCCUGAGUCCGAGGAUUCUGAUCCCCUCUACCACGUUAUCCCUUUUCUCUCCCCACAUCAAACACCUCUUCCCUGUCAGUCUAUCACCUUACCACAUGCUGCUGUAACCUUAAUCCCUGAACCUUAUGCUAAACCUAUUCGUCUAAUAGCCUUUCUUGAUACAGGUGCAGCUACAACCAUCUUAUCCCCAAAAGUCCUCCCAAACCAUUUUUGGAAACCUCAAGAACCCCCUCUUCCCUUUUUAGCAGCUAAUGGUGAAACCUUCUAUAUCACCCUUGUCACUAAACAACCUAUUAAAGUCCAACUUCUUCCAACCCUUUCGUUUACCCAUGUCAUGUUAGGUUCCCACUGUCCUGGUAAAGAUCUCAUUAUAGGUUUUGAUGUCCUGAGUCAUCUUCCCCUUAAAUGGACACUCCAUGGUCUUGUAUAUAAACAACAACUUCUCCCCUGGUCCCCUUUUUCUAACAUUUUUCUUGCAGGUACAAGUCCUACUCUGUUUGAUGAGUUUAAAGGAAAACUUCUGCAAACUUCCUGUGCAGAUUCUCAUACUGAGUUCUUGACUAAAUGUACGCAUCCCCUCUGGCAGAAUUCCAAGUUCUUCAUCUCCUUACCUUUGAAGAAGAAUGAAGAUGUCAAUCCAACAAAAGCCAGUCAUCCUGGAAUGCCUCCAGAACAUUUAGCCCUUGCAGUCCAAGAGCUUCAACAACUACAAGCUCAAGGCUUGUUAGAAUCCACUGUCUCUCCAUGGGCAUGUCAGGCGUUCUAUGUGAACAAGAGAACAGAACAGAUCCGUGGUAAAAUGAGGAUGGUAAUAAAUUAUCGGCCCUUGAAUUUCUUCUUGGCUGAUGAUAAGUUCCCUUUACCAACUCGCCCGGCACUAUUACUCCUAUUAGCCUUUGCAACUGUCUUCUCCAAGUUUGAUCUGAAAGCAGGUUUUUGGCAACUUGGGAUUACUCCUGAAGAUAGACCCAAAACAGCUUUUUGCAUCCCUGGUUAUCAUUUACAGUGGGCAGUCAUGCCGUUUGGAUUAAAAACGGCUCCAUCAAUAUUUCAGCGUGCCAUGAUGCAGAUCUUUGCUCCUAUUCAAGAUCAGUGAAAGGGUUUUUAAUGAGAAGAGGACAAUAAGUAUUGAAGAAAUAGAGUUCGAGUUUUUAGUAGUGUGUAGCAGCUGUUCGCAACCCUAGGUAGCAAUAGUUGUGUUGGUGGUCUGGUCAAAUUCCAAGUGGCCAAACCUGUUGAGGGAGCUUCAAGGAGACCAUACAGGAGCACAAGCAACCAGAUCUUGGGUUGUAGGCAAAGGCCAUGGUCUUCCAGU